AGAGAUACAAAUUACUAUAAAAAUGUUUGGCGGAUAACGUUUGCAAACAAGGAUUUUCGAAUAUUUAAGACAUUUGGCGACGUUUUACUUAUCUCAAAUAUCUGUCAUGGAUAAAUAAAGUUAUUUAAAUCAAUUUGACAUCAAAGUUAUCUCGAUACCUGUAAAAUAUCGGCGUUUGUGUUCAUUUGAAAAUCGUUCGUGCAAGAAUCGAAUUUGCCUCAUAGUUGUCAAGACAAGAUAAUGCACAGCUCGCUUUCCAAGUUUAGAGGCAGUUAUGAUCUAGAAUAUGUUUCAAUGCUUAAAUUUGUGAUAAUAUUAUCACUACACCUUGCUACAGCAUUUGGAUAUGGUAUUCAUCAGUACGUAUGGUUGUUAUUGUCAUAACAUGCAGGGGCGGAUCUAGGUUCAUAUCAUAAUGAAAUGUGACCAGGUGCAAAACAGAAAAAACUGGACUUUCACUAAUAGAGCUUCAAGCUGUAGUAAUCUGUUAAAUAAUGUUUUUUAUAAUGACCGUGAACAUUCAUAACCUUUACAAAAAUCAGCUCGAACCGUUACCAGUCCUAAACAAAGUUUUUUCUCUUUGCAAGUUGGUCUUAAUGAUUGUGAUAUUGGGGAAAAUGACUGUGCUGUUUCUGGUGAAGUUGAUAUUUUAGAUGUUUCUUUUUGCCAUGAAAAAGCUAAUUCUUUGGUCCAUGUGAAUGCAGACAUUGGGGAAAGGCGUUUUUCUGAUUCUUCUGAUUUUGAACAUGAUACUUUAAAUGUUUCUUUUCAAGAUAGGUUAGUUGAUUGGGUGAAUGAGUACUCAAUUAAGCAAAAUGCUGUUGAUGGUUUGCUUGCUCUUCUUAAGGAUAAUGGUCAUCCAAAUUUACCUAGUUGUGCUUGCACUUUGUUGCAUACAUCAAGAUGUAUUCCCAUUCAGAGAAAUUCUGACAUGGAUUACGUAAACUUUUCUUUUGGUGAACAAUUGUUAAAGCACUUUCACAAGCAUCCUUGUGAAACAGUUAAGAACAAUAAUCAUCUUGAAAUCUCUUUAAAUGUUGAUGGGCUUCCUUUGUUUAGAAGAUUUCUGCAAAAAAUGUAUGGCCAGUGUUGUGUGCCAUUUUGAAUAUUAAACCUGUUGUAAUGUUUCUUAUUGUCCUAACAUGUGGUGACUCUAAGCCAAAAGACUUGGAGUUUUUGGAUGAGUUUAUAGAAAAUUUGAAGAAUAUUCUAGAAAGGGAGUCCAAGAUGGGGAAAAGGUUCUGACUGUUACAGUAAUGGACAUUGUUUGUGAUGCUCCUGCAAGAGCACUUGUUAAAGAAAGCAGAUACAAGAAGAACAUCGUCGCUUUGUUAGCCCUUUCUGUCACUUUCUGUUGAUAUGGUAAAACAAUUUCCAAUUGACUACAUGCAUCAACUGUGUCUGGGUGUUAUGCGUAAAUUGAUUAUGGUUUGGAUGAAGGGAAAUCGCGCUGCUAAAAUGUCUGUUGCCCAUGUAGAAGCUGUAAGGAAAAAAUUGGUGGAGCUUUAACCAUUUAUCACCUCAACAUAUGUGCAAAAACCUAUGAGUUUAAUGGACGUUGACAGAUGGAAAGCUACAGAAUUCAAACAGUUUCUUUUGUAUACUGGCAAAAUUUCUUUCAGCUACCAAUGAAAUCUUAUCAACAAAUUCUAGAAAUACAAGCAACGUCUCUUCACAAGGAAUUACUACAACUGGCACAAAAAGAGAAAGACAUUCUCAACGAAACAGUGGUGUCUUAGGCAAGCUUUUCUUACAAUUCAUUAUUGCAUGUCUUGUUGUUACGUUUUCAUUUACGUUCAUU